AUUCAACCCAAACAAAGUUAAGAAGCCGAUCUACCGACUACCAUCCAAUAAGGUAAAGCAUAAACAGAACCUAACAAACCCUAGCCUACACUCCAUCCCCAUCCACCCAAACCCAAAAUCCGCCAUGGCCAAGAAGCGAAAGACUCGAGCUUCACAACCGUCACAAGAUCAACCACCGGUCGACGAACAACCCGUCGCCGUUAAGGAAGAAGAACAAGAGCCAGAAGAAGAAGAACCCUAUGAAGAAAAUCAAGAAGAAAUCAAUGAACAAGACGAGGAGGAACAAGAAGAAGAAGAACAAUCCGACGAAGAAACCACCGGAAACGACGUCAAAGAAGUUAAAAUUGAAUCCAACGGUGAAGAUUUAACCGAAGAACCCGUAGAGAAGCUUCUGGAACCGUUUUCGAAAGAACAAUUGGUCUUAUUAAUGAAAGAGGCGGUUUCCAAGUAUCCGGAUUUAAUCGGGAGUGUCGAAAAGAUAGCCGAUGCAGAUCCGGCUCACCGAAAGAUAUUCGUUCACGGUUUAGGGUGGGAUACGACAACUGAAACGUUAAUUAGAGAGUAUUCAAAGUACGGUGAGAUUGAGGAUUGUAAAGCUGUAGUGGAUAAGACGACUGGUAAGUCGAAAGGAUACGGGUUUAUAUUGUUUAAACAUAGAGCGGGUGCGAGGAAGGCGUUGAAGGAGCCGCAGAAGAAGAUUGGGAACAGGAUUACUUCGUGUCAGUUGGCGUCUGCAGGGCCGGUUCCAGCCCCUCCACCGAAUGGGCCUCAGGUGUCGGAGUAUACGCAGAGGAAGAUUUUUGUGAGUAAUGUGGCGGCCGAGAUUGAUCCGCAGAAGCUUACGGAGUUUUUCGCCAAGUUUGGGGAGAUUGAGGAGGGGCCAUUGGGGUUGGAUAAGCAGACGGGGAAGCCGAAGGGGUUUGCGUUGUUUGUGUAUAAGAGCAUUGAGAGUGCGAAGAAGGCGUUGGAGGAGCCGCAUAAGAUAUUCGAAGGGCAUACUUUGAAUUGUCAGAAAGCGGUUGAUGGGCCGAAACCGGUGAAAGGGGGUUUUGGUCAACAUCAGCAGUUUGGUGGGCAUCAUCAUCAACCGUCGAAGAAGGCGAAGUAUUCUGGCGGCAGAGGUGGUGGUGCAGGGCAAGGUCAUAUGAUGGCGUCUUCUGGACCGCCUGUGGGAUAUUCGCCUCCUAUUCCGCCACAGGGGGCGUUGACUCCUGUUUUGGGGCAGGCGUUGACUGCCUUUUUGGCUUCGCAGGGAGCGGGGCUUGGAAUUGGUAAUCUUUUAGGAGGUCUCGGUGCGCCUGCGAACCCGCAGGGGAUGCCGCAUGUUGGGAGCAAUCCUGGGUACGGGAAUCAAGGCGGUGCGGGGUAUCAGCAAGGUGGGUAUGCUAAUCCACAGAUGGGUCAAGGAGGCAGCAGGCCACAACAAGGUGGUGGAUAUAUGGGCCAGGGUCACUAGGGGCGGUCAGUGGUCACCGAUCGGAGAAUAUGAAGGGGAUUGUAACCUGUAUUAGUGAUCAAAGGUUGCAUUUGAAGCACAAGAUGAAGGGGAUUGCCACAUCAAUUCAUCAAUGUUUUUGUUUUGGACUCUGCUGAUUCUUCUGAAGUUCCAGCCAGUCAUGCAAAUGAAGUCUUCACAAUAUCUAGCAAAAAAAAAGUCAUGAUUUGCUUAGCAGAAUAAAAAAACUUGUAUUUUUCUUGUCUACUUGGUUUUAUGGUCUAUUUCAAAAAAAAAAAAAAAAAAAAAACAAUGUAGUAUUUUAAUUUGACUUGUUUCCAAAAAAACAUUGAAGAGCUUGUAGGUCUUUGCUGUGUUAAACUUCAUGACUGGUAUUUUAAAAUUUUUAUGCAUUUUAUUAUUAGUUUUCUAA